rnacentral:lncRNA from 1 species
GGCAGAUUUCAAACUGAUGUGUGAUAAUGCAAUGACAUACAAUAGGCCAGAUACCGUGUACUACAAGUUGGCGAAGAAGAUCCUUCACGCAGGCUUUAAGAUGAUGAGCAAACAGGCAGCUCUUUUGGGCAAUGAAGAUACAGCUGUUGAGGAACCUGUCCCUGAAGUUGUACCAGUACAAGUAGAAACUGCCAAGAAAUCCAAAAAGCCGAGUAGAGAAGUUAUCAGGUA